rnacentral:rRNA from 1 species
GUAAUUAAGUGCAUGUGGUGGAUGCCUUGGCAGUCAGAGGCGAUGAAAGACGUGAUAGCCUGCGAAAAGCUCCGGGGAGGCGGCAAAUAUCCUUUGAUCCGGAGAUGUCUGAAUGGGGGAACCCACCUACUUUAAGGUAGGUAUUGCAACAUGAAUACAUAGUGUUGCAAGGCGAACGAGGGGAAGUGAAACAUCUCAGUACCCUUAGGAAAAGAAAUCAAUUGAGAUUCCCUCAGUAGCGGCGAGCGAACGGGGAUCAGCCCAUUAAGUUAUGUGUGUUUUAGUGGAACGCUCUGGGAAGUGCGAACGUAGAGGGUGAUAUUCCCGUACACGAAAGGGCACACAUAAUGAUGACGAGUAGGGCGAGGCACGUGAAACCUUGUCUGAAUAUGGGGGGACCAUCCUCCAAGGCUAAAUACUCCUGACUGACCGAUAGUGAACCAGUACCGUGAGGGAAAGGCGAAAAGAACCCCUGUGAGGGGAGUGAAAUAGAUCCUGAAACCGCAUGCAUACAAGCAGUGGGAGCACCUUCGUGGUGUGACUGCGUACCUUUUGUAUAAUGGGUCAGCGACUUAUAUUCAGUAGCGAGGUUAACCGUAUAGGGGAGCCGUAGAGAAAUCGAGUCUUAAUAGGGCGUUUAGUUGCUGGGUAUAGACCCGAAACCAGGCGAUCUAUCCAUGAGCAGGUUGAAGGUUGGGUAACACUAACUGGAGGACCGAACCCACUGUCGUUGAAAAGCCAGGGGAUGACUUGUGGAUAGGGGUGAAAGGCUAAUCAAGCCUGGUGAUAGCUGGUUCUCCCCGAAAGCUAUUUAGGUAGCGCCUCGGACGAAUACCAUAGGGGGUAGAGCACUGUUUCGGCUAGGGGGUCAUCCCGACUUACCAAACCGAUGCAAACUCCGAAUACCUAUGAGUACUAUCCGGGAGACAGACUGCGGGUGCUAACGUCCGUAGUCAAGAGGAAAACAAUCCAGACCGCCAGCUAAGGCCCCAAAAU